CAUGUAGGCGGUCUGUCAAGCCAGGCGUGAAAGCCAGGGGCUCAACCCCUGAACUGCGCUUGGAACUGGCGGACUGGAGUCGCUGAGGGGGAACCGGAAUUCCUGGUGUAGGGGUGAAAUCUGUAGAUAUCAGGAAGAACACCGAUGGCGAAGGCAGGUUUCCAGCAGACGACUGACGCUGAGGUGCGAAGGUGCGGGGAGCAAACA
rnacentral:rRNA from 1 species